rnacentral:rRNA from 1 species
UACGGAGGAUCCGAGCGUUAUCCGGAUUUACUGGGUUUAAAGGGUGCGUAGGCGGAAAAAUAAGUCAGUGGUGAAAACCUGCAGCUUAACUGUAGAACUGCCAUUGAUACUGUUAUUCUUGAGUAUGGUCAAGGUAGGCGGAAUGUGUAAUGUAGCGGUGAAAUGCUUAGAUAUUACACAGAACACCAAUUGCGAAGGCAGCUUACUGGACCAUUACUGACGCUGAUGCACGAAAGCGUGGGGAGCGAACAGG